AGCAGGUGGCGCAGCGGUUAGCGCUGCUGCCUUAUACUUAAAGGACUUGGGUUCACAUCCCAACUCUUGCUG
rnacentral:tRNA from 1 species